rnacentral:rRNA from 1 species
ACAAAAUUUUAAAAUUCAUACGAAAUUGGAUAUAAAAAUCGGCAUCGUUUUUUAUAGUUCAAAGUUCCGGUGUUGAAAGAUGAGGUCGGCGGUUCUAUUAAGCUAGUUUGGAGAAAGUAACGGCUCCCCCAAGGCGACGAUUAGAUCGGGGGGUCUGAAGAGGGGAUGUCCCCCCACACUGGUACUUGAGAUACGGGACCCAGACUCCUACGGGGAGGCCAGCAGUGAAGGAAUAUUGGACAAUGGUCGGAAGGCUGAUCCAGCCCAUGCCGCGUGCAGGAUGAAGGUCCUAUGGAUUGUAAACUUCCUUUUGUAAGGGAAGAAUAAGGAGUACGUGUACUUUGAUGACGGUACCUUACGAAUAAGCAUCGGCUAACUCCGUGCCAGCAGCCGCGGUAAUACGGAAGGAUGCGAGCGUUAUCCGGAAUCAUUUGGGUUUUAAAGGGUCCGUAAGCGGGCUGAUAAGUCAGAGGUGAAAAGCGCUUAGCUCAACUAAGCAACUGCCUUUGAAACUGUCAGUCUUGAAUGAUUGUGAAGUAGUUGGAAUGUGUAGUGUAGCGGUGAAAUGCUUAGAUAUUACACAGAACACCGAUAGCGAAGGCAUAUUACUAACAAUUUAUUGACGCUGAUGGACGAAAGCGUGGGGAGCGAACAGG